UACGUAGGUGGCAAGCGUUGUCCGGAUUUACUGGGCGUAAAGAGCGCGCAGGCGGUUUGAUAAGUCGGAUGUGAAAGCCCCCGGCUCAACUGGGGAGGGUCAUUCGAUACUGUCCGACUCGAAGGCAGGAGAGGGAAGCGGAAUUCCCGGUGUAGUGGUGAAAUGCGUAGAUAUCGGGAGGAACAUCAGUGGCGAAGGCGGCUAUCUGGACUAACACUGACACUGAGGCACGAAAGCGUGGGGAGCAAACAGG
rnacentral:rRNA from 1 species